AAAUUAUAAGAAGGGACCCAACACAGAAAAUUCAUUUUAUUGAAUUUUACAUUUAUGUGCAAGUUGGGCAAAGUGUCUUAUUUUUUAAAAGUAUUUCAAAGUAAAAUUACAUGUUAAUACGUAGUAUUAAUGGCGAGACUCCUGAGGGAGCAGUGCCAGUCGAAGACCAAGGCUGAGACGGCACCCUAGGAAAGCGAAGCCAUUCAAUACGAAGUAUUGUAUAAAUAGAGAACAGCAG
rnacentral:ncRNA from 3 species